AAGACUUAAAGCCAAUGCGCCAUAGAUUAGUAGACGCAACCAAUAAUAGCCUGCUUCGCGAUACAUAUUCACGAAAGAUCUUCUUGUAAGAAUCAGACACUGAGUUAGAAAAUCAGCAUGGCUUUUCUUCUCCAUUGAAUGAAUCAUACGAUUUAACAAGCAUGUGAAUAGCUUCAUCUGUGCUUAGCCCUCCACCUAAUCCUUUCUCAGGGUCCUGCAAAUAAUCGUGAUCAGAAGGACUCUGGAGACUUGGGCAUGGAAAACCAUUUGAUGAAAAAAACUGCACAAAAAAAAGUAGCAGUAAAUCAAAAUCAAAGUAAAAAUGUUGAAUCUCAGUGGAUAGAAGCAGCAAGGUCACUCUGUCACUUACAAUACUCGUUUGUUUAAUUUAAAAAUAUUGAUAUACAUCUAUAUACAAUAUACAGAUAGUGGUUGAAUUGAAGUAUCU